GCGGUAACCUUUUCUUGAAGCCCUAACAAUCAUCUCCAUCUGAAAAACAUAUCCUUUACUGACACAAGAGCUUAUGAUGUCUUCUAGUGCAGACUUCUGGUACAGCCGGAAGGAUCCAGUUAAGUCUGAUACACCCGGCCAAAGUAGUGUCUGUGCAAGGACAUUGGCUCCCCUGCUCGUCAAUUUGCGCAUAAGGUUCCAUCCGUGGACACCACCACUAGAAACAUAUCGAGUUCCAGUAACUAUAUUGGCACCUGUCUCCAUUUGUUUCUUGAUAAAUCUUGGCAGGUAUUUUGGAUGGUGAGAAAGAUCCGCAUCCAUAAUAACAACAAAAUUGCCUGAGGCAUGCUUCAAACCAUGAAUAUACGCAGUGCCUAGACCAAGUUUCCGAGGUCGAGGUCUUAAUAAAAUACGAUCUUCUCCAUAUACUUUCUGCAAUUGUUUGACAAUAUCCUGUGUGCCAUCUGGACUUCCAUCAUCCACUACUAUUAUUUCAAAAUCAACAUCCGUGAGAUGCUUGAAGACGAGGUAGAUGAUGAGAGCAAUAUUGAGACGUUCAUUGUAGGUAGGUAUAAUUAUACUGU
rnacentral:misc_RNA from 1 species